rnacentral:rRNA from 1 species
GACGAACGCUGGCGGCGUGCCUAAUACAUGCAAGUAGAGCGAAGCGGCGGAUGGGUGAGUAACGCGUGGGUAAACUGCCCUUAAGUCUGGGAUACCAGUUGGAAACAGAUGCUAAUACCAGAUAAUAAAGGAUGGACCUGCGAUGCAUUAGCUAGUUGGUAAGGGAACGGCUUACCAAGGCGAUGAUGGAUAGCCGAGUUGAGAGACUGAUCGGCAACAUUGGGACGUAGACACGGCCCAAACUCCUACGGGAGGCAGCAGUAGGGAAUCUUCCACAAUGGACGAAAGUCUGAUUGAGCAACGCCGCGUGAGUGAAGAAGGUUUUCGGAUCGUAAAGCUCUGUUGUUGGUGAAGCGGUAAUCAACCAGAAAGUCACGGCUAACUACGUGCCAGCAGCCGCGGUAAUUC